rnacentral:rRNA from 4 species
GCGAUAAGCGCCGGUAAGGUGAUAUGAACCGUUAUAACCGGCGAUACCCGAAUGGGGAAACCCAGUGUGACUCGUCACACUAUCAUUAACUGAAUCCAUAGGUUAAUGAGGCGAACCGGGGGAACUGAAACAUCUAAGUACCCCGAGGAAAAGAAAUCAACCGAGAUUCCCCCAGUAGCGGCGAGCGAACGGGGAGGAGCCCAGAGCCUGAAUCAGCAUGUGUGUUAGUGGAAGCGUCUGGAAAGGCGCGCGAUACAGGGUGACAGCCCCGUACACAAAAGCGCAUGUGCUGUGAGCUCGAUGAGUAGGGCGGGACACGUGGUAUCCUGUCUGAAUAUGGGGGGACCAUCCUCCAAGGCUAAAUACUCCUGACUGACCGAUAGUGAACCAGUACCGUGAGGGAAAGGCGAAAAGAACCCCGGCGAGGGGAGUGAAAAAGAACCUGAAACCGU